AUGCAGCAACGUGCCCGCCGCCCCCUCCACCUUGCACACGGCGGUGACUUCUGGAAUGUUCUGAGUCCCCGGCCCUGCCCUCUUAGAAAUAAACCUGCAGCAGGAGCACACACUUCCCUCCCCCAGCUCCUGAACGACCGCUGUGUGUCCCCGGUCGUGGACGCCUCGUCUCACGGCGGCCGCCUGGCACAUCAGAGCUCGGCGCUCUCGGGCCCGGGAACAGGCCACCGUGUGCACCAGCCGAGGCAGCCUCGGGCCGUUCCACGUCUCAGCUGUGGUGGCGGGAGCUGCUGUGGACACUCGGGGACCGGUGCUGGGGAUGCAAGUUUUUGUCUAGGAGUGGAACCGCAGGAUCGGGCGGUGCCUUGGGGUGCAGCCAUCGGAGCAGUGCUGAAGGCCUCCCCCGUGUUGGCUCAGGGGCAGCGAGGGGUCGCCGAGGCCAGGGCCAGGGCCGGGGGAAGGUGGUCCCUGCCCCUCCCCGACGGGCGCUGCCGUCUCCUGGCGCAGUCCCCAUGGAAUCCCCAAGCCGUGCAUGGUGGUGCCGUCCCGGAAGGGAGCAGUGCACUCAACUGGCUCCGCAGAGGGGGCCGACUUCAGCCAGGCUGCGGCCACAGGACGAGGCCGACGGCCACCUCAUCUGCCUUCCGGGGACCAGGCCUCGCCCGCAGCCCAGCAGGCUGCUCUCCACUUCUCUCUCAGAAGUGGGGGGGGUGCAGGGAGGACACACUGCACGGCCGGCCUCGCAUUCCUUCCUCUCAUUGGACCUCCUCUGUGUCAGUCAGCACAGCUAGGCGACUGGGAUUGGCACGAGAGGACCCAGCACAGGGAGGGCAGAGGGCAGAGGGCAGAGGGCAGGGCCCACGGCCCCGGGGCUGCAGCACCCAAACAGGCGAGAGGCUGUCCCACCCGGGGAGGGGUGGUGAUGGGGAGCACACGGCCCCGCCCACGGCCCCGCCCCACGGCCCCUGUGUGCAUCUCCAGCUGGUGGUCCCCCCUCGACCACCUCAGGCUGAGCCCCUGGGAACAGCUGGCUCCAGGGCCCAGGGGGUCACUCACCCCACAUGCAGCACAGCCCAGGGGCAGCGGGCAACGAUGCCAGCUUCCUCCCUGGGCCCUGUCACUCAGGGAGGUGACCAGCUCACGGCACAUGCCUGCUGUCACCCUGAGAGGUCGGCCAGCGCCCCCACCGAGCCCUCACCCAGACGUGGGACGGCCCGAGAGCAGUGGAGGCAGCCGUGCCGGGGAGAGUGCCCACGGCAGAGAGCGGGUAGGCUGGCCUCGGCGUGGGUGGGGGCACCUGGCUCGUGGGAUACCAGGGGCCAAGCCCGGCCCCCGGAGCUGUCCGCUGUGAGGCCCGCACGGGCCCUGCUGCCUGCUCCUGUGGGGUCUACCUUCAUUCAGGGGGCACCUGGAGGACAGCGUGGCGAUAGCAUUUCC
rnacentral:lncRNA from 1 species